UAAGGCACUACUAUGAGUAAGUAACAGGAUUACUAAAGAAAUUAUUAAAAGCUUCUAAAUGCAAAAACUGUAGCUAGCACACUUAGUCUUUGGAUUAGGUAGCACAGGAUAGGAACAACUUUAUUUAGCAUAACAAAUGUAUGUGUCCUGUAACCAGGUGGAGAAGAACAUCAACAACAUAACCAUCUGGAUUUCCCACCAGCUCUUCAUCAACGGGGAGUUUGUGGACACAGAGGGUGGGAAGACCUACAAGACCUUCAACCCCACAGACGGAAAGCUGUAACGUUGGUCGUUGGGAGAAAGAGAGGAGGACCAAUGCGCAGCGUGGUAAGUGUUCAUAGCUUUUAAUGACGUACUAGAACACUGAACAAAACAAUAAAUAACAAACGAACAGUCCCGUAAGAUGAAAGACCAAAACACUAAACAGGAAAUAAGCACCCACAACUCAAAAGUGAAACCAGGCUACCUAAGUAUGGUUCUCAAUCAGGGACAACGAUUGACAGCUGCCUCUAAAUGAGAACCAUACCAGGCCAAACACAGAAAUCCCAAAUCAUAAAAAAAGAACAUAGACAACCCACGCAACUCACGCCCUGACCAUACUAAAACAAAGACAUAACAAAAGAACUAAGGUCAGAACGUGACAUGAGCUCAGUAUUCUUCAACAAGGGAGAAAACUUUUGUUUUGUUAUAAAUGUCAUCAAGCACCCCGAUUGACUCAAAGUUGUUUAUUUUAAACACAUGAAUGCAAUUAAAUGUUUUCUCACAUAGAAUAAUAUCUAACGUCUGAGUAUUCCCCCUUAUAUUGAACACAUUUCACCUCACAAAUCCUGGGUUGAUGUCACAUUAUUUUGAAGUCAUUCCUAGUACAAUGUAAGAGAGAUUUCCUUCUUCAAAUUUAUUUUAUAUAGCCCUUCGUACAUCAGCUGAUAUCUCAAAGUGCUGUACAGAAACCCAGCCUAAAACCCCAAACAGCAAGCAAUGCAGGUGAAGAAGCACGGUGGCUAGGAAAAACUCCCUAGAAAGGCCAAAACCUAGGAAGAAACCUAGAGAGGAACCAGGCUAUGUGGGGUGGCCAGUCCUCUUCUGGCUGUGCCGGGUGGAGAUUAUAACAA
rnacentral:lncRNA from 1 species